CCUACGGGGCGCUGCAGUGGGGAAUAUUGGACAAUGGGCGAAAGCCUGAUCCAGCCAUGCCGCGUGUGUGAAGAAGGCCUUCGGGUUGUAGAGCACUUUCAGUGGGGAAGAAAGCCUUGGGGCUAAUACCCUCGAGGAAGGACAUCACCCACAGAAGAAGCACCGGCUAACUCCGUGCCAGCAGCCGCGGUAAUACGGAGGGUGCGAGCGUUAAUCGGAAUUACUGGGCGUAAAGCGCGCGUAGGCGGUCUGAUAAGCCGGUUGUGAAAGCCCCGGGCUCAACCUGGGAACGGCAUCCGGAACUGUCAGGCUAGAGUGCAGGAGAGGAAGGUAGAAUUCCCGGUGUAGCGGUGAAAUGCGUAGAGAUCGGGAGGAAUACCAGUGGCGAAGGCGGCCUUCUGGACUGACACUGACGCUGAGGUGCGAAAGCGUGGGUAGCAAACAGGAUUAGAUACCCUAGUAGUC
rnacentral:rRNA from 1 species